AGAGUUUGAUUCUGGCUCAGAACGAACGCUGGCAGCGUGGAUUAGGCAUGCAAGUCGAACGAGAAUCCCGGGUGUAGCAAUACAUCUGGGAGGACAGUGGCGUAAGGGCGAGUAACACGUGGGCAAUCUACCUCCAAGAUGGGGACAACCCGCCGAAAGGUGGGCUAAUACCGAAUGUGGUCCCUCGGCGCAUGUCGAGGUGACUGAAGGUGGGGACCGAAAGGCCUGCCACUUGGAGAGGAGCCCGCGCCCCAUCAGCUAGUUGGUGAGGUAACGGCCCACCAAGGCUUACGGGUAGCUGGUCUGAGAGGAUGGUCAGCCGCACUGGGACUGAGACACUGCCCAGACUCCUACGGGAGGCUGCAGUCGAGGAUCUUUUGCAAUGUACGAAAGUGUGACAAAGCGACGCUGCGCGGAGGAUGAAGGCCUUCGGGUUGUAAACUCCUGUCAUUCGGGAAAAACGACCCCGUGAUGAACAGUUACGGGGUGUGAUGGUACCGGAAGAGGAAGCCACGGCUAACUCUGUGCCAGCAGCCGCGGUAAUACAGAGGUGGCGAGCGUUGUUCGGAUUUACUGGGCGUAAAGGGCGCGUAGGCGGCUUUGUAUGUCGGAUGUGAAAUCCCACUGCUCAACGGUGGAACUGCAUUCGAAACUACAGAGCUAGAGUGCAGGAAGGGAGAGUGGAAUUCUCGGUGUAGCGGUGAAAUGCGUUGAUAUCGAGAGGAACACCGGUGGCGAAGGCGACUCUCUGGAAUGCAACUGACGCUGAGGCACGAAAGCAAGGGGAGCAAACAGGAUUAGAUACCCUGGUAGUCCUUGCUGUAAACGGUGUACAUUUGGUGUGGGGAGAAUUGACCCGCUCCGUGCCGGAGCUAACGCGUUAAAUGUACCGCCUGGGGAGUACGGCCGCAAGGCUAAAACUCAAAGAAAUUGACGGGGGCCCGCACAAGCGGAGGAGCAUGUGGCUCAAUUCGAUGCAACGCGAAGAACCUUACCAGGGCUUGACAUGUAUCUGCAUACCCUGCGAAAGCAGGGUAGCCUUCGAGGGUGAUACACAGGUGCUGCAUGGCUGUCGUCAGUUCGUGCCGUGAGGUGUUAGGUUAAGUCCUGCAACGAACGCAACCCCUGUGUUUAGUUGCUACUCCCGAUGAUAAGUUGGGAGGCACUCUAGACAGACUGCCCGUGUAAGCGGGAGGAAGGUGGGGAUAACGUCAAGUCAGUAUGGCCUUUAUGCCCUGGGCUGCACACGUGCUACAAUGGCCGGUACAGAGGGAAGCAAGACCGCGAGGUGGAGCAAAUCCUCAAAACCGGUCCCAGUUCGGA
rnacentral:rRNA from 1 species